GGCCCACAAAUCAUCACCUUACAAUUAUAUUGACCUAAACUUCUAAUUUAAAAUCGAUUAGACGUUGAUCCUUAAGAAUCUUCGAGCUCAGUAGGAUAAGAAACCCUAAAAGUUAGAUCGGAUUCUGGUUAGUCAGUUUAACUGGUGUCUAGGAAAGUGGUUCAGAGAUUACGUCCUGAAGGAAGGUGGUUCAUUAAUUGGUUCUGUUUGCUAAUCUGGCCAAUACAGUUGGUGUCUAAGGAAAGCAACGGAGGACCCCUACCAACCUUACACUUACUUGGCCAGUUGAGCGGCUAGUCUGCUACUUGGAGUGCUUGAAGGUGACCUUGGCAGUUAGGAGCUGUCUAGAUCUAGGAUAACUCAUAGAUAGGAUUGAUUGAACCACUUGAUUGUUGACCAAAAAUAUCAAAUCUAAUUAAUUUUUCUCUAUCUUCUUAGCAUUAGAACUCCUUAGGUUCUCUUCUUUAGAAUUCUUUUUCCUCCUACUCUCCUCUUCUCUUUCAACAAAAAAAAAAUAUUGAAAUUAAAACUCGGUGAGAUAUUUUGGGUGCAUGCUAGGACGCCAAUCAUUACAACCUGAUUUACACCCAUUAGACCUAGAGCUAGAAAAAAUGAUUCAAAUAAGCCAAAUCAAAACUAUGAAUCCAAAACAAGAGACUGACCCACCACGACAAUUGAGAGAGUAUUUUACUCUCUCAUCUUACACUUACUCG
rnacentral:lncRNA from 1 species